CAUCUGAGAGGGAACACAGAUUUAAGAUGUUCAUUAGCAGUAAUGAUAAGGUGAAAUCUGGAUGCAGAUUGAUUUUGGCAGAAUGAGGCGAGCACUUCUUUGACAAAGCUUUACCACAUCUGCCAGAAACUUAAAUCCUUUAUUGCAAGUACAAAUUAAAACUUUCCUAUAAAAUGUAAUCUGCUCCUCUCUCCUUUUCUAAUGUCCUACAGUAUGUGUUGUGUAGUGAGUUGUACCUUGAUUGUGUCCGACAGGUCAGCCAGCUGUUUCUGGUGUUCCGACAUUGUGGUAGACAAAGAGAGCAGAGUCUCCUGGUUCUCAGGCCUGAGGAAGAAAAAAUGCAGCAGCUUAAAUGGGAUUCCAGUCACCCCAGCCAAAAACUGUUCUGCCUGCUGCCAUCUGCCGAACCGUACCACAUCAUAUGGUCCUGCACAGCUAGGCUCGGACAGCUUAAUCCCGCAGGGCAUAAGGCUGUCUACCUCUUGAGCUCAUCACUUGACACCUUACCACUACACUGUCACCAUAGCUCUAUAUACUUUACUACUGUUUACAUAUACUGUAUCUAUAGAUAUAUACUGUAUAUAUAUAUAUAUAUAGUACAUACUACGUCCCUGUUUAUAUGGAGUUUAUCCAUUUGAAAUACUGUCUACCACGAAUUUACAUUACUCACUUUAUAUUUAUUUGAGCCCUAUGUUUUAAUUUACGCUAUUUGUCUUAGAUAUCUCAUUUUGCUUGUGUGACUUAUCUUUUUGUAUUCAUAUUUAUUGUAAUUGUAAUGACUGCUUUCUUUUAAUUGUUCUUCAUAUGAUAAAUAAAUAAACUUGAAUUUUUUGACAUAC